CUGACAUGGAACUCGACUCAGAUGCUAAAGUACACACCCUGCAUCCCAACUUCAGAGAUGCCUGCCUCAGAGUGGAGUGUUGAGUUCUGCCACGCUCUUGAUCUCAGCAUAAAAAAGCAAACUGCUGUCUGUUCUGUUCAUCCUGAUGUUCUUAACUUCCUUCCUGGUGGGCUCUCUGUAACUAAAGGCCCAGCCACUGGCAUGUGGGAGAAUAUUAAAACUAUAACUAAUGACAGCAAUACACCAGUGACAUGGCAGAAGAAGAUCACUAAACGGGUUGGAUACAAUAAGGAGAAGAUGACCCAGAUGACUCACAACUGGAAGAUAGCUGCAUCAGCCUCGUUUGAAUCUGGAGCCCUUUCAGCAUUAAUUGCGAAGAUACAGUUAUCAUUUUCUAUAGAAUAUGGAGGUUCACGUGUUAACACUGAAAACGAAAGCUGGAAUGAAGCAACUGAAGAGGAAGAACUGCUCAGCUUUGAGCUGAAGCCAAAAGAGUCUGUAUAUGUGUGGCAGUACAAAUUGGGUCUUGGUCAAGAACCAUUGUUGUUCUGCCAUGAUUUAAAGAUUACCAAUGAGCCAAACCGUCCAACUGAAGUCCCCCUGCCACCCGCUCAACCAUGAAUACCAACAUUUCAGGAUCGCUGAACUCCAAGGAUAACCAAGUGCUUUUUAAUUAAAUAUAUUAACUAUAAAUUCUCAAGUAAUUAUGCAGAUAUCUGCAUGUACUUGUUAAAAUGAGUCUGGGAUCAUUUACAAUAGCAAAGAGAUUUUUCUGUUACAAAUUAUUUAACUACAAUUACUGAAACUUUGUAUUUAUGAUUAAAAGAAUCUGACAAUUCUACUUUAAAUCUUACGAAAAUUAAACAACACUGCAUACA